rnacentral:SRP_RNA from 1 species
GCCGGGCAUGGUGGCACGUGCCUGUAAUCCCAGCUACUUCAGGAGGCUGAGGCAGGAGAAUUGCUUGAGCCUGGGAGGCAGAGGGUGCAGUGCACCGAGAUCAUGCCAUUGCACUCCAGCCUGGGCAACAGAGUGAGACUCUGCCUCAA